CUGAAACCAACAGGUGCCCUCAACAAAGCAACAGUAACGCCAAAGGAAGGCUGAGGAGGCAACACAAUUAAGAGCAUAGGAUAUUAAAUUUAACCGAACAGGCUUUCUUCCACAUUGCAACGACCACUCUAAAGAUGUCCGUUAAACUGACCUUCGUGAAGUUGGCGAGCAGAGGCAUCACCGUGCUUUGUGCGAGCGCGUCCACCCCUGCCCUAGCGUCAAUCGCAGUGGUGGUUGUGUGCGGACUACUAUAUUUUGCAAAGACAUCUACAAACCCCACAUACUGACCAACUCUGACAAACCAGAUUGUCAGCUAAGAGAGAAAAAAGCCUGCUGCAGGAUUCAAAAUGGAUUCCACUGCAUCCUGUACAAAGACUUGACCAAAAGAUGGCACUGUUUGUAUGAUCUGCCACUUGCGUUUUACAAAUGGUGCCAAAAGUUCAGUCCGUGAUUGUUAUCCAGACUUUUCUCUUGAAUUUAGGGAAUUUAUCAUUGUCACAUAAAUGUCUGCGUUGGUGUCUAAAAAAUGAAAAACAAACGGCCUGGUGGCUCAGAAUGACCUCUGAACAGUCCUUUGCAAAUAACAAGGUGCUCCAUCGGCAUGUAGAGUGAUGCAGUUGAUAUGCUGUUGAGCUCAAACAUCAGCAAUCCUUCUCAACCAAAUCACGGGCAGUACCUUCAAUGUAGGCCUAAGCUUACUGGCUACACGCUAUUCUACCUGUCAGGUUUCUUGAUUUGAUUUGUGCGGGCUCAUGUUAUAGUAUAUCACGAGUACUCGCUCAUUGGUAUUUCCUCAUUUCCUUAUAAAAAGUUAUUUUUGUAUAGGCAUUUCUCUUUGCUCUGCGGGGAUCUUUUGGGUUCGGUGUGUUCACUUUUUGUUUACAUUCUUUAAUUGUGUGUGUGUACCCAAGACCAAAUCUCAGCAGAGAUGCAGGGUGACCUCCCUGGAAAAGUCUGGACCAGAACCAUCUGCUACUGUCCUGCUACUCAUCCCUGUUCUUUUACCCUUCCUGUAUCUAGGGCAGGGGUCUCCAACAGGUAGUUUGCGAGCUACCAGUAGCUCCCAAUCUGUUUCUAAGUAGCUCUCCGAAAGAUUUGAGGAAGAUGUUCAUAAAUGACAAGUGACAACCCAGUCACAAAUUCAGUCUAGAAAGAGAGAAGGUAAAUUAGUUGAAAGGAACCUUUAAAAUGCACGCAAAUCUUAUUCAGCUGUUUUGGAUGGAGAUCAUCUAUAUGAAUACAUGGCAUGAUACUACUAACAAAAAAAGCUCACAGCCAUGUAGCUCUCGGAGGAAAAAAGGUUGGAGACCCCCGAUCUAGGAGCUACACCUCUGUCACUUCAUGCACUGUACUGUAUCUAGUUCUGCUGUCCUGUAUGAGUGACCUUUGAUCACUCAGUGCUGAUAGAUAGAUAGAUAGAUCAUUCAUUGCCACACAGCAAUGUUAUCAGCCUCACAGUUAGUGCUUAAUAGAAUAAAUCUGGUGUAUCACCUCUGUAAUGUGUACUGUAUGCUUAUGUUUUAAAGCCAUGUAUAAAAGCUAAGA